rnacentral:lncRNA from 1 species
CUGCAAAGGCAGCUUUUAGAGAUGCUGAACACAAAUUUUCUGAGGAAGUGGAAGCCUAAAGAGAAUGCUGCCGUUGGCAACAGGAAGCUUUCAACCUGUUUUAAUCUCUUUUCUUGGAUAAUUGCUGACAACAAAUUGCUAGUGCACAGAAUUAAUUUAGUUUUAUAUCAUUUAUCAUGGUUCAGAAAUGUUAGUUACAAUUGUGUGCCUGUACAUACACCCAGCCAGGUAGUUAAUUCUUAGAAGCUCUUUGACAUCCUGCUUCUGGUUAAUUCUGUUCAAUUUUAAUGUGUUAUCAAGUGCAGA